GAUCAUGGCUCAGGAUGAACGCUGGCGGCAUGCCUAGUACAUGCAAGUCGAACGAAGUGAAGAUAGCUUGCUAUUGGAACUUAGUGGCGAACGGGUGAGUAACACGUAGAUAACCUGCCUGUAUGACCGGGAUAACAGUUGGAAACGACUGCUAAUACCGGAUAGGCAGAGAGGAGGCAUCUCUUCUCUGUUAAAGUUGGGACACAACGCAAACAGAUGGAUCUGCGGUG
rnacentral:rRNA from 1 species